rnacentral:rRNA from 1 species
AUUGAACGCUGGCGGCAGGCCUAACACAUGCAAGUCGAGCGGAUGAAGGGAGCUUGCUCCUGGAUUCAGCGGCGGACGGGUGGGUAAUUCCUAGGAAUCUGCCUGGCAGUGGGGGAUAACGUCCGGAAACGGGCGCUAAUACCGCAUACGUCCUGAGGGUGAAAGUGGGGGAUCUUCGGACCUCACGCUAUCAGAUGAGCCUAGGUCGUAUUAGCUAGUUGGUGGGGUAAAGGCCUACCAAGGCGACGAUCCGUAACUGGUCUGAGAGGAUGAUCAGUCACACUGGAACUGAGACACGGUCCAGACUCCUACGGGAGGCAGCAGUGGGGAAUAUUGGACAAUGGGCGAAAGCCUGAUCCAGCCAUGCCGCGUGUGUGAAGAAGGUCUUCGGAUUGUAAAGCACUUUAAGUUGGGAGGAAGAGCAGUAAGUUAAUACCUUGCUGUUUUGACGUUACCAAAAGAAUAAGCACCGGCUAACUUCGUG